rnacentral:rRNA from 1 species
AUGAAGGCCUUCUGGGUUGUAAACUUCUUUUACCUGGGAAGAAACCACUAUUUUCUAAUAGUGUUGACGGUACCAGAGGAAUAAGCACCGGCUAACUCCGUGC